UCUAGUCAAAUCUGUGGUUUUUUUCAGUAGUCAUGUAUGGAUGUGAGAGUUGGACUAUAAAGAAAGCUGAGCGCUGAAGAAUUGAUGUUUUUGAGCUGUGGUGUUGAAGAAGAUUCUUGAGAGUCCCUUGGACUGCAAGGAGAUCCAACCAUCAAUCCUAAAGGAAAUCAGUGCUGAAUAUUCAUUGGAAGGACUGAUGUUGAAGCUGAAACUCCAACACUUUGGCCACCCAAUGUGAAGAACUGACUCAUAGAAAAGACCCCAAUGCUGGGCAAGACUGAAGCCACUGAGUUGUAUUCAUGGGCAAUGAACAUGUACAAUGAAUUGUUGUGGACAAUGAACAUGUGUAACAUCAAGCUUGAGGAGUUCCUGGGUGAAAUUUGAACCGAUUCUCAUGCAGCAAGCAAAGAGAAACCAAAGAAAGAGGCCUUUCCAGAUUGAUGGAAUGAAGAUUCCAGGAUGAAGUGAAGAUCUAAAUGUGAGAGUUACAUUAAUAAAACUUCCCUCCAAAAUUGAAGACUAUUCUCAUGGCUGCAAUAAAGGAGAUGAGGAUGUAUGAGCAUCUAGAUAUGGCGCUAAUACAUUGCAUUCCUCGUGUCAAAUUUCUCACCUUCUCAAAUUGCAGAAGUGCAGACAUUUUGGACCUUUAUACCUGUGACAUAAUGGGAAAUGGCCUUACCAUUCCUCAGUAAUAUUUUAGAAGUGAACUUGAUGUGGAAAGGAUCACUGGCCUGAAAUGUAUUGGCUCAAUAGUAGAACUUUUGGAUAGUAGUCCUCUCAGUGACUAUGGAGCUCUGUGAGAU
ensembl:lncRNA